UAAUACGGAGGAUCCAAGCGUUAUCCGGAAUCAUUGGGUUUAAAGGGUCCGUAGGUGGAUAAUUAAGUCAGAGGUGAAAUCCUGCAGCUCAACUGUAGAAUUGCCUUUGAAACUGGUUAUCUUGAGUCAUUAUGAAGUGGUUAGAAUGUGUAGUGUAGCGGUGAAAUGCAUAGAUAUUACACGGAAUACCGAUUGCGAAGGCAGAUCACUAAUAAUGUACUGACACUGAUGGACGAAAGCGUGGGUAGCGAACAGGAUUAGAUACCCUGGUAGUCCACGCCGUAAACGAUGGAUACUAGCUGUUCGGAUUUAGGUCUGAGUGGCUAAGCGAAAGUGAUAAGUAUCCCACCUGGGGAGUACGUUCGCAAGAAUG
rnacentral:rRNA from 1 species